UACAGAGGGGGCAAGCGUUGUUCGGAAUUACUGGGCGUAAAGGGCGCGUAGGCGGCCCGCUAAGUCGAACGUGAAAUCCCCGAGCUCAACUCGGGAACUGCGUCCGAUACUGGUGGGCUUGAAUCCGGGAGAGGGAUGCGGAAUUCCUGGUGUAGCGGUGAAAUGCGCAGAUAUCAGGAGGAACACCGGUGGCGAAGGCGGGUCUCUGGGCCGAUACUGACGCUGAGGAGCGAAAGCGUGGGGGAGCGAACAGG
rnacentral:rRNA from 1 species